AUCUUGCUUAUCUCAUGUGUAAAAUGCAUCCCCUGUUUCCAGGACUUAGUCGCAGGCAUAUGUAGCUCAGUCAUAGUUGUGUGUACUGCUACUGUUACUUGUAGCAUCAAGUGUGCAAUUUGUAGCAUCAAGUGUUGGUUGUAUGUACUGUUCAGUACCAUCUGUUAGUUGUAUGAAGUGUGGAAUGAGUAUUGAGAACAAGCAAGUGCGUGUAGCAUUGCCCUAUCUCUGCUUGCUCCACGAUAGCCCCAUGGCGUGCUCAGGCUGGGCGAAAAUUUGGUAGUCGAUGUACUGUCUGGCUAAUUGUACUGCACCUGUACUGCAAGACAGCAUGACUGAUGUACUGCGGCUGCGAGCGAGCGAAAAGUAACUUGACGAACAUUUCCUACCUCUGCGCUCUCUCCCUCUCAAACCCUAUUCUCUCUCGUCUCACUCUUCCCGGCGGCGGCGGCCGCUACUGGGAGUAGCACGACGGGCAGGCGGCUACUGGGAGUAGCACGACGGGCGGCAGCCGAUGGCGGGGAACGGGAUGGCGGCAGGGAACGGCGGGCUCCUGCGCAGUGUGGUUGCGGCGGCGGUGUUCAUUGUUUGCGAGCGCUCCCCGGCGCCGGUGCGGGACCAAGCUGUUGGACGCUUCAGAAGCAGAGGUGGGUGCCAAAUUGACUCGAUGGUUCAGAGCCGAGGUGGCUGCCAAAUUGAACUACACUCUCUUCUUGAUGGGUCUCUGAUUUCCCUUGAAACAUUACAGAUGGAUGUGGCGGUUCUGGACUAAACCAUGGAGACAUCUCUUUCCGCAUUGCAAUGUAUCUUUCUUUUCCUUUUAGAUCCAAGGAUGUGAUUUAAAAGUUAAAACCCGACACUUUCUAUCAGUGUAGGACACUAUGAGACAAUCGAAUGCCUAUAACUAUAGUUUUUCCUGUAGAGUUGUUUGCUUAUACGAUUUGCUUUCUCUUUUGUUGACAUUUUUUAUUUUGCCGUCGCUGAUGUUCAGUUACUUCAGGUUGAGCAAGGAGGAACAAUCAGAAGAUUUAGCAUUUAUUUUUCUAAAUCUGCAGAUUAUUGUAAUUAAAAAUCAGUGUGCCUUUAAUCAGCAGGCUAUCGUGACGGUCUCGUUGAGUCAUUGUUGGGCAUGGUACGGUAGCCUAUUUAGCAUUUAGUUAUUAGCACAUUUGAAAAUUAACAUCCCAAAACCGGUUUCAGUAUUUGCAGUUUGCAGCUAGAUGAUGAAAUAUUUGGUCUUGCUGAUCAACACCGUAUUACCUAGAUGUUGGUCUUCCAUGGCAAGAUCGUUUGCGUACUUUGAAGUCAUUCAUGAUUUCUCUUCCUCCCCUUUUCUUGGCAUCUUUUUUGUACCUCCAAUUCGAGUUGUGUUGGUUUGUGCUAUAUAUAUCUGAGCAUAUAUGAUUAGGAUCCCAGUAUUUGUCAAUAUCUGGAGUUAUUGAGCUAUACGCUCAUUUUAGUUUUAUGCUCAUGGAACAUUUGAUGAAUUGCUUAAUGAAUGUGUGUUAGAUUGAUGAAUAACAACGAAAGGCUGCAGCAAGAGGAUAUAGGAGACAAGGAAUCUUGUUCUGCGGAGGACAUGACGAGGACGGGGAUGAGUUGAAGGCAGCGGAUUCUCCAUUGCUUUGGCCCCAUGUUGGAGGGUAUAAUGUAAUCAUUCUCUAAGUGCCUCGGAGAAUGACUCGAGGGGUACAGAAGGUGAAGUAAGUACCACACAUGCCUCUGCAGCUAUGAUACUAAAAGAGAGUAUGCCAGUUACUGUGAGGAAUUAGCCAAGCAACUCAAGGAGUGUAAUGGUGUUGAUUUUGAGAUUUGGUAGGAGGGUGCUCAGGGAAUGGUUAGUACUUUGCAAUGCACACCAGUCUUACGCACACUUAACUUUCUGAGGGUGAUUCCAUGUUUUUACACACACUGCAUAUUAUGCUUACCAAUGCAUGAUGUUUCCCUUGAUUAAUGUUCAGAAGAGUCUCAAAUAUGUGUUGGAGGAAGUUUAUAAUCUCAAUAGGUUUCCCUCAUCCCAUCCUAUGAUGAAAGAUGCACUAGAGUUUGAUGGCACCAUGAAGAUGGUGAGAGAGGAGGUGUAUUCACCUGAUCUGGUACAUCACCUGCUAUAUAUGGAUUAAUCUUGCACAAGCCUCCUCUUAUUAUAUGACUUAACACUUUGGUUCUUGUACAAUUGAAAACCAUUGUUUGUCCUUACAAAUGCGGUGAAGCUGUAGAGGAGAAGAAGGACCACCAGUUUGCAGAUUAAACCACAUGAGACCCUAGGUAUCACCAUCCUCAUAGAUUGGGUAUGAACUAGCAAGGAAUUUUCAACAACACCCCUAAGGAAGUUGCGAGGAUUAAAGAUUGCCAAGAAAUUUCAGUUGGUCAUAUUGUCUAUGGCCCAUCAAGUAUUCAGCAAUCGGAACUUGGAAUUAGUCUGCAGACAUAUAUCUAUGUGUCUCCUUUGAAAAUUUAAUAAAUGCAUAUCUCUUUAGACUUUUGAUUCUGCCUUGGAUGAGUUUGUUGCAUGCUGUCUUAUUGAUUAUGUUACUUGUGAGAUAAAGUAAACUCCAUGUUGAAAUAACUGUCUUGAGGAAAUAUCAUCCAUUACUUUGAAA